UACGGGGGGGGCAAGCGUUGUUCGGAAUUACUGGGCGUAAAGGGCGCGUAGGCGGCCUUCUAAGUCGGACGUGAAAUCCCUCGGCUUAACCGAGGAACUGCGUCCGAGACUGAAAGGCUUGAAUCCGGGAGAGGGAUGUGGAAUUCCCGGUGUAGAGGUGAAAUUCGUAGAUAUCGGGAGGAACACCUGUGGCGAAGGCGGCCAUCUGGACGUCAACUGACGCUGAGACGCGAAAGCAUGGGGAGCAAACAGG
rnacentral:rRNA from 1 species